GACGAAGGAUGCAAGCGUUAUCCGGAUUCAUUGGGCUUAAAGGGUGCGUAGGUGGCCUUAUAAGUCAGUUGUGAAAUCUCUGGGCUUAACCCAGAAAUUGCCAUUGAUACUGUAGGGCUUGAGUAUAGUUGCCGUUGGCGGAAUAUGACAUGUAGUGGUGAAAUACAUAGAGAUGUCAUAGAACACCGAUUGCGAAGGCAGCUAACGAAACUAUAACUGACGCUGAGGCUCGAAAGUGCGGGGAUCAAACAGG
rnacentral:rRNA from 1 species